rnacentral:misc_RNA from 1 species
GAUGAAGAACGCAGCGAAAUGCGAUAAGUAGUGUGAAUUGCAGAAUUCAGUGAAUCAUCGAAACUUUGAACGCACAUUGCGCCCCUUGGUAUUCCAUGGGGCAUGCCUGUUCGAGCGUCAUUUGUACCCUCAAGCUUUGCUUGGUGUUGGGCGUCUUGUCGUAUUACGACUCGCCUUAAAUACAUUGGCAGCCGGCACUUUGGCCUAGGAGCGCAGCACAUUUUGCGAUCGUAGCCCGUUGUACUGGCGUCCAUCAAGAACAUUUACCACGUUUGACCUCGGAUCAGGUAGGGAUACCCGCUGAACUUAAGCAUAUCAAUAAGCGGAGGA